rnacentral:rRNA from 1 species
CAUCUUUAAUAGGAUGUUACGAUUGUGUGAAUACAUAGCACAUUCGAGGUAGACGCAGAGAACUGAAACAUCUAAGUACCUGCAGGAAGAGAAAGAAAAUUCGAUUCCCUGAGUAGCGGCGAGCGAAACGGGAAAAGCCCAAACCAACAAGCUUGCUUGUUGGGGUUGUAGGACUCCAAUAUGGUCGUUCUUUCAGAUAGUCGAAUGACUUGGAAAAGUCAGUCAAAGAGGGUAAAAACCCCGUAGACGAAAUGUGGAAGACACCUAGGAGGAUCCUGAGUACGGCGGAACACGAGAAAUUCCGUCGGAAUCCGGGAGGACCAUCUCCCAAGGCUAAAUACUCCCUAGUGACCGAUAGUGAACCAGUACCGUGAGGGAAAGGUGAAAAGCACCCCGGAAGGGGAGUGAAAUAGAACCUGAAACCGUGUGCCUACAACAAGUCAAAGCCCGUUAAUGGGUGAUGGCGUGCCUUUUGUAGAAUGAACCGGCGAGUUACGAUUGCAUGCGAGGUUAAGUUGAAGAGACGGAGCCGCAGCGAAAGCGAGUCUGAAUAGGGCGUUUGAGUAUGUAGUCGUAGACCCGAAACCAUGUGAUCUACCCAUGUCCAGGUUGAAGGUGCGGUAAAACGCACUGGAGGACCGAACCCACGUACGUUGAAAAGUGCGGGGAUGAGGUGUGGGUAGCGGAGAAAUUCCAAACGAACUUGGAGAUAGCUGGUUCUCUCCGAAAUAGCUUUAGGGCUAGCCUCGGAAUUGAGAAUGAUGGAGGUAGAGCACUGUUUGGACUAGGGGCCCAUCUCGGGUUACCGAAUUCAGAUAAACUCCGAAUGCCAUUCAUUCAUAUCCGGGAGUCAGACUGUGAGUGAUAAGAUCCAUAGUCGAAAGGGAAACAGCCCAGACCACCAGCUAAGGUCCCAAAAUAUAUGUUAAGUGGAAAAGGAUGUG